rnacentral:rRNA from 1 species
AGCGCAGGCGGGAGAACAAGUUGGAAGUGAAAUCCAUGGGCUCAACCCAUGAACUGCUUUCAAGACUGUUUUUCUUGAGUAGUGCAGAGGUAGGCGGAAUUCCCGGUGUAGCGGUGGAAUGCGUAGAUAUCGGGAGGAACACCAGUGGCGAAGGCGGCCUACUGGGCACCAACUGACGCUGAGGCUCGAAAGUGUGGGUAGCAAACA